rnacentral:rRNA from 1 species
GCAAGUCGAGCGAGAAAGCCUUCGGGUGAGUAGAGCGGCGGACGGGUGAGUAACGCGUGGGAAUCUACCGAGUAGAGGGGGAUAACGACCGGAAACGGUCGCUAAUACCGCAUACGCCCUACGGGGGAAAGGAGGGGAUCUUUAGACCUUUCACUAUUCGAUGAGCCCGCGUCAGAUUAGCUAGUUGGUGGGGUAAAGGCUCACCAAGGCGACGAUCCUUAGCUGGUCUGAGAGGAUGAUC